rnacentral:rRNA from 1 species
UACGGAAGGGGCUAGCGUUGUUCGGAUUACUGGGCGUAAAGGCGCACGUGAGCGGAUCGUUAAGUCGGGGGUGAAAUCCUGGAGCUCAACUCCAGAACUGCCUUCGAUACUGGCGAUCUUGAGUCCGGAAGAGGUGAGUGGAACUCCUAGUGUAGAGGUGGAAUUCGUAGAUAUUAGGAAGAACACCAGUGGCGAAGGCGGCUCACUGGUCCGGUACUGACGCUGAGGUGCGAAAGCGUGGGGAGCAAACAGGG